rnacentral:lncRNA from 1 species
AUUUAAUUUCGACUUGCAUUGCAUAAGUUUAUCCUCUAUCCCUUUCCCUUGUUUGUUUUCCACCUAUCCUGAAUGAGUAGAGGAAUAGAGGAGAAAAAUUUCAUCUGAGUGUAUUCCAAACCUAGUACAAGAGAAGAAGGAAAAAAAGACUAUGCUAGUCCUUCAAGUAGACAAGAAGGAAAAAAAGACUACGCUAAUCCUUCUUCAAGAUGAUUCUAUUCAAACAAAAGAAGCAAGACAUGACCUUCCAUCAAUCAUCCAAAAGUUCUACUCAGGCACCAACAAGCAACUGUAAUCAACCAUCACCAGAAGAUAGUGAUUUGAUUCUCCAUCAAUCACUCAAAAUAUUCAAAUUUUAAAUCAUUCAAUCCAAGGCAUCCAAAGAGCACUCAAAAAUGACCAAAUCAAAAGAGAAUCCAAUGAUGGCCUAUAAAUACAGGUAUGAUUUUUUUCUCCUUUACUCCUUAAGCCUCCACCAAAUAAUUGCCUCCAAAGGCCAUCCCAUAGAACUACCACCACCAUAGGUGCCACC